rnacentral:misc_RNA from 1 species
GCAAACUUGGUCAUUUAGAGGAAGUAAAAGUCGUAACAAGGUUUCCGUAGGUGAACCUGCGGAAGGAUCAUUAACAAAUCCGUGGUUGUCGCUGGCGCGUGGUGCAUGCACUCCGUCGCCGGCUGCCAACGCACACAUGUCCGUGUGCACGUUUGCUCUGCACACAUGACACAUUUCUGCGCAUGUCUGAUUCGUCCAUGGAUAUAAUGAGCGAUGGUCAACUUUUAACAAUGGAUCUCUAGGCUCCUGCAUCGAUGAAGAACGCAGC